rnacentral:tRNA from 1 species
GCGGGUGUGGCGAAAUUGGCAGACGCACUAGACUUAGGAUCUAGCGGGGUGACCCAUGGGGGUUCGAGUCCCUUCACCCGCACCA